ACCUUUAAGACGAGGAUAACAGUUGGAAACGACUGCUAAGACUGGAUAGGAGAUAGGAAGGCAUCUUCUUAUUUUUAAAAGACCUAGUAAUAGGUAUGCUUAAAAAGGAGCUUGCGUCACAUUAGUUAGUUGGUAGGGUAAAAGCCUACCAAGACUAUGAUGUGUAGCCGGGCUGAGAGGUCAAACGGCCACAUUGGGACUGAGACACGGCCCAAACUCCUACGGGAGGCAGCAGUAAGGAAUUUUCGGCAAUGGAGGAAACUCUGACCGAGCAACGCCGCGUGAACGAUGAAGUAUUUCGGUACGUAAAGUUCUUUUAUUAGGGAAGAAAAGAUGAUGGAAAAAUCAUUAUGACGGUACCUAAUGAAUAAGCCCCGGCUAACUAUGUGCCAGCAGCCGCGGUAAUACAUAGGGGGCAAGCGUUAUCCGGAAUUAUUGGGCGUAAAGGGUGCGUAGGCGGUUAAAUAAGUUUAUGGUCUAAGUGCAAUGCUCAACGUUGUGAUGCUAUAAAAACUGUUUAGCUAGAGUUGGAUAGAGGCAAGUGGAAUUCCAUGUGUAGUGGUAAAAUGCGUAAAUAUAUGGAGGAACACCAGGAGCGAAGGCGGCUUGCUGGGUCUUAACUGACGCUGAGGCACGAAAGCGUGGGGAGCAAACAGGAUUAGAUACCCUGGUAGUCCACGCCCUAAACGAUGAGUACUAAACGUUGGGUAAAACCAGUGUUGAAGUUAACACAUUAAGUACUCCGCCUGAGUAGUACGUACGCAAGUAUGAAACUUAAAGGAAUUGACGGGACUCCGCACAAGCGGUGGAUCAUGUUGUUUAAUUCGAAGGUACCCGAAAAACCUCACCAGGUCUUGACAUGCUUUUGCAAAGCUGUAGAAAUACAGUGGAGGUUAUCAAUUGCACAGGUGGUGCAUGGUUGUCGUCAGCUCGUGUCGUGAGAUGUUGGGUUAAGUCCCGCAACGAGCGCAACCCUUGUUGUUAAUUGCCAGCAUGUAAUGAUGGGGACUUUAGCAAGACUGCCAGUGAUAAAUUGGAGGAAGGUGGGGACGACGUCAAAUCAUCAUGCCCCUUAUGACCUGGGCUACAAACGUGAUACAAUGGCUGUUACAAAGGGUAGCUAAAGCGCAAGCUUCUGGCGAAUCUCAAAAAAGCAGUCUCAGUUCGGAUUGAAGUCUGCAACUCGACUUCAUGAAGUUGGAAUCGCUAGUAAUCGCGAAUCAGCAUGUCGCGGUGAAUACGUUCUCGGGGUUUGUACACACCGCCCGUCAAACCACGAAAGUUGGCAAUACCCAAAACCGGUGGCCUAACUUGAGUAAUCAAGAGGGAGCCG
rnacentral:rRNA from 1 species